GAGACAGGGGGAGACAGUGGGUGAGGUAACCAACAGAGACAGAGGGUGAGGUAACCAACAGAGACAGAGGGUGAGGUAACCAACAGAGACAGAGGGUGAGGUAACCAACAGAGACAGAGGGUGAGGUAACCAACAGAGACAGAGGGUGAGGUAACCAACAGAGACAGAGGGUGAGGUAACCAACAGAGACAGAGGGUGAGGUAACCAACAGAGACAGAGGGUGAGGUAACAAACAGAGACAGAGGGUGAGGUAACAAACAGAGACAGAGGGUGAGGUAACCAACAGAGACAGAGGGUGAGGUAACCAACAGAGACAGAGGGUGAGGUAAC